CAAUAGCGUAUAUUAAAGUUGUUGCAGUUAAAAGCUCGUAGUUGGAUUUCGGAGUGGGCCAGUUGGUCCGCCGCAAGGUGUGUUACUGACUGGUUUGCUCUUCUUCGCAAAGACUGCGUGUGCCCCUUAAAAUGAGUGUGCGUAGGAUUUACGACGUUUACUUGAAAAAAUGAGUGUUCAAAGCAGGCUAUUGCUUGAAUACAUGAGCAUGGAAUAAUGGAAUAGGACUUUGGUCCCAUUUUGUUGGUUUCUAGGGCCGAAGUAAUGAUUAAGAGGGACAAUUGGGGGCAUCCGUAUUUCGUUGUCAGAGGUGAAAUUCUUGGAUUUACGAAAGACGAACAACUGCGAAAGCACUUGCCAAGGAUGUUUUCAUUGAUCAAGACGAAAGUUAGGGGGAUCGAAGAUGAUCAGAU
rnacentral:rRNA from 1 species